rnacentral:rRNA from 1 species
UACGUAGGGUGCGAGCGUUAAUCGGAAUUACUGGGCGUAAAGCGUGCGCAGGCGGUUUUGUAAGCCAGAUGUGAAAUCCCCGGGCUUAACCUGGGAAUGGCAUUUGGGACUGCAAGGCUGGAGUGUGGCAGAGGAGACUGGAAUUCCUGGUGUAGCAGUGAAAUGCGUAGAUAUCAGGAGGAACACCGAUGGCGAAGGCAGGUCUCUGGGCUGACACUGACGCUCAUGCACGAAAGCGUGGGGAGCGAACAGG